rnacentral:pre_miRNA from 1 species
GAUGACUGUGCCUCUGGUCCAUGUGCCUUGUAUCAUGACUAGAUCCACACUCAUCCA